AUUGAACGCUGGCGGCAUGCUUUACACAUGCAAGUCGAACGGCAGCACGGGGGCAACCCUGGUGGCGCGUGGCGAACGGGUGAGUAAUGUAUCGGAACGUACCCGGCAAUGGGGGAUAGCUCGGCGAAAGCCGAAUUAAUACCGCAUAUGCCCUGAGGGGGAAGGCAGGGGAUCGAAAGACCUUGCGUUGUCGGAGCGGCCGAUAUCCGAUUAGCUUGUUGGUGAGGUAAAGGCUCACCAAGGCGACGAUCUGUAGCUGGUCUGAGAGGACGACCAGCCACACUGGGACUGAGAAGCGGCCCGUCCGCCUACGGAAGGCAGCAGUGGGGAAUUUUGGACAAUGGGGGCAUCCCUGAUCCAGCCAUGCAGCGUGAGUGAAGAAGGCCUUCGGGUUGUAAAGCUCUUUCGGACGGAAAGAAAUCGCACUUGAUAAUACCUUGUGUGGAUGACGGUACCGUAAGAAGAAGCACCGGCUAACUCCGUGCCAGCCGCCGCGGUAA
rnacentral:rRNA from 1 species